CCCCGCCUUUGAGGAGGGAUUCGGUAUCAACUGUCAAACUUCAAUUUUCUGGUCUUGUCAUUUCAUUAUUUAUUUGCAAUGAAGACAUUCAACACGCUCCUGAUUGUAUUCGUGCUGUACUGUUUAAUCUCUCGAACGAAUCCUAAGGCAAUACGGAAAGGUCAUCAAAAAGAACUCUCUUCAAACACUUUUCUACGACAACUUUCCAUGGAUAACACUGAACAAAAGCGAUUGUUGGCAUGUGAAGACGUGAGAGAUCCAUAUCAUUGUUUUUAUCUAGCUGUGGUUGAAGAUAAUUGUGAUCAGCCUGGUGGUAACCUGUGUAGUUAUUCUUGUGGACUGUGCUGAAAACUGGGUCAUAAUUAGUUUUCCCAAAUAAGAAUGUUUUUAGCAGGAAACCGUUAACUGUUCUAAAGCUUUGUUGUAACUGGAAAAAGGGAAGUUAAAUAAAAUUGUAGACAAAU
rnacentral:misc_RNA from 1 species